AGGCCUGUAGCUCUAAUUGGCUAGAGCAGUGGUCUCCAAAGCCGCGUGAUGGGGGUUCGAAUCCCUCCAGGCCUGCCA
rnacentral:tRNA from 2 species